rnacentral:tRNA from 1 species
GCCACGGUGGUCUAGCGGUUAGAACGCUGGCCUUGUAAUCCUGGGGUCUUUGGGUUCGAUUCCCGGCGGUGCCC